rnacentral:rRNA from 1 species
AGAGUUUGAUCCUGGCUCAGGACGAACGCUGGCGGCGUGCCUAAUACAUGCAAGUCGAACGAACUCUGGUAUUGAUUGGUGCUUGCAUCAUGAUUUACAUUUGAGUGAGUGGCGAACUGGUGAGUAACACGUGGGAAACCUGCCCAGAAGCGGGGGAUAACACCUGGAAACAGAUGCUAAUACCGCAUAACAACUUGGACCGCAUGGUCCGAGNNUGAAAGAUGGCUUCGGCUAUCACUUUUGGAUGGUCCCGCGGCGUAUUAGCUAGAUGGUGGGGUAACGGCUCACCAUGGCAAUGAUACGUAGCCGACCUGAGAGGGUAAUCGGCCACAUUGGGACUGAGACACGGCCCAAACUCCUACGGGAGGCAGCAGUAGGGAAUCUUCCACAAUGGACGAAAGUCUGAUGGAGCAACGCCGCGUGAGUGAAGAAGGGUUUCGGCUCGUAAAACUCUGUUGUUAAAGAAGAACAUAUCUGAGAGUAACUGUUCAGGUAUUGACGGUAUUUAACCAGAAAGCCACGGCUAACUACGUGCCAGCAGCCGCGGUAAUACGUAGGUGGCAAGCGUUGUCCGGAUUUAUUGGGCGUAAAGCGAGCGCAGGCGGUUUUUUAAGUCUGAUGUGAAAGCCUUCGGCUCAACCGAAGAAGUGCAUCGGAAACUGGGAAACUUGAGUGCAGAAGAGGACAGUGGAACUCCAUGUGUAGCGGUGAAAUGCGUAGAUAUAUGGAAGAACACCAGUGGCGAAGGCGGCUGUCUGGUCUGUAACUGACGCUGAGGCUCGAAAGUAUGGGUAGCAAACAGGAUUAGAUACCCUGGUAGUCCAUACCGUAAACGAUGAAUGCUAAGUGUUGGAGGGUUUCCGCCCUUCAGUGCUGCAGCUAACGCAUUAAGCAUUCCGCCUGGGGAGUACGGCCGCAAGGCUGAAACUCAAAGGAAUUGACGGGGGCCCGCACAAGCGGUGGAGCAUGUGGUUUAAUUCGAAGCUACGCGAAGAACCUUACCAGGUCUUGACAUACUAUGCAAAUCUAAGAGAUUAGACGUUCCCUUCGGGGACAUGGAUACAGGUGGUGCAUGGUUGUCGUCAGCUCGUGUCGUGAGAUGUUGGGUUAAGUCCCGCAACGAGCGCAACCCUUAUUAUCAGUUGCCAGCAUUAAGUUGGGCACUCUGGUGAGACUGCCGGUGACAAACCGGAGGAAGGUGGGGAUGACGUCAAAUCAUCAUGCCCCUUAUGACCUGGGCUACACACGUGCUACAAUGGAUGGUACAACGAGUUGCGAACUCGCGAGAGUAAGCUAAUCUCUUAAAGCCAUUCUCAGUUCGGAUUGUAGGCUGCAACUCGCCUACAUGAAGUCGGAAUCGCUAGUAAUCGCGGAUCAGCAUGCCGCGGUGAAUACGUUCCCGGGCCUUGUACACACCGCCCGUCACACCAUGAGAGUUUGUAACACCCAAAGUCGGUGGGGUAACCUUUUAGGAACCAGCCGCCUAAGGUGGGACAGAUGAUUAGGGUGAAGUCGUAACAAGGUAGCCGUAGGAGAACCUGCGGCUG